UUACUAACAGAAACCAAGACCAUUCACC
rnacentral:piRNA from 1 species